rnacentral:rRNA from 1 species
GACGAACGCUGGCGGCGUGCCUAAUACAUGCAAGUAGAACGCACAGUUUAUACCGUAGCUUGCUACACCAUAGACUGUGAGUUGCGAACGGGUGAGUAACGCGUAGGUAACCUGCCUGGUAGCGGGGGAUAACUAUUGGAAACGAUAGCUAAUACCGCAUAAUAUUAAUUAUUGCAUGAUAAUUAAUUGAAAGGUGCAAUUGCACCACUACCAGAUGGACCUGCGUUGUAUUAGCUAGUAGGUGAGGUAACGGCUCACCUAGGCGACGAUACAUAGCCGACCUGAGAGGGUGAUCGGCCACACUGGGACUGAGACACGGCCCAGACUCCUACGGGAGGCAGCAGUAGGGAAUCUUCGGCAAUGGACGAAAGUCUUACCGAGCAACGCCGCGUGAGUGAAGAAGGUUUUCGGAUCGUAAAGCUCUGUUGUAAGAGAAGAACGGGUGUGAGAGUGGAAAGUUCACACUGUGACGGUAUCUUACCAGAAAGGGACGGCUAACUACGUG